UUAUUAUAUUAUUAUAUUAUUAUAUAAUAAAGAUAUUUUAUGUUUUAAUUAUAUUAUAUUAUAUUAUAUUAUAUAAACUAAAGAAACAAAAGAAAGGAAAUAGAAACAGAAUGAAAGGAAAUAGAAACAGAAUGAAACGAAACAGAGAGCAGGGGAGAAAAAGGAAGAAAGAAAGGGAGAAAAGAUAAAAUUGAAGGUUUGAAGCUUUAAGCUUUAAUAGGUAAGUCAAUCAAGCCAUUUUUACUUAAUUUUUAUGUUUUAGAAGUUUUAGAACAAAGUUUUGAUGAAAUUAAGUUGAUAUUUUGAAAGUUAUUAGAUUUCUGGAUAUUUUCCAUGUUAAAUAAAAUGAUGAAUUAAGGGCUAAAUUGAUAGCAAUUCAAGUUAGAAAUGAUAUAAGGAUUGAAUUGUAAAGUGAUUCAUAAGUUUUAUGCUUUAAGGACUAAAUUGAAAGAAUUUUGAAAUUAUGGUUUUAUGAUGAAAAUAGAUAAUUAUGUCUAAGUUUGGUUAAAAAAUUGAGUUGAAAUAAAGUAUGAAUUAAGAUAGAAAAGUAAGUGAAUUUAGUUAGGAUUAAAUUGAAAUUAAAGUAAAUCAAUAUUUUGUACUAAGACUAUUUUGGACAGCAGCAGUAGUCUAUGUUUGAAAAAUCACCAAAAAUUGUAGAAAUUGAAUUAGAGGAUGAAUAAAAUAUGUAAUUAAAGCUUAUUGAGUCUAGCUUCUUAUAGAAGAAAUGGUAUAAGCAAUUGAGUUGUAAAUUAUGAGAUAUAAUGAAUUUUGUGAGAUAAGGUCAGAAUGAAUUCGGGUUUCCCUGUUCUGACUUUGGAAAAUCACCAAAAAUUUAAGAAAAAUAAUUAGAGGCUUAAAGUUAUGUGUUUAUAAUCCAUAAUGAGUCUAUUUUCAGGAGAAAUCAAUGGGAAUAUUAUCCGAGUUCUGUACUGUGAGAUAAUUAAUUUUUAGUCAAGAAGGGACGAAACUGUCAGACAGCAGAAUAGGGGUGAAUUUAAAGAAUAAACUGUAUUUAAUGGCUAAACCAAAAAUUCUGAAAAUUUUAGUGUAAUAAGAUUUGUGAGUCUAGUUUCAAGAAAAAUUAGUGGAUCUUAAUUUAGAAUUCUGUAACUGAAGAUAUAAAUUAGUAAUGUAUUAAUGAUUAUGAAUUGUAUUAAUUUCGUAGUCAAUGUGGUACCGGAAAUCUCGGCUAAGAAAGGACAAGACAAAGUCAACUGGAGUUACCUCGAAAAUUAUGGUUUGUAUUUCUAUAAUCCGAACUUAGUUAUUAUUUGUUAUAUUUAUAUACAUAUUGCAAUUGUUAGUGUUAGAAUUAUGAUGUUUUACAAUUGGAAUGGAUUGAUUUUGGUAUGCGAUGAAUUUAUUGAAUUUAUAUUGAUUGAAUUAUAUAAUAUAUAUGACUUAUGUAGAAAUUUGAAUAUUGAAUGAAUGUUAAUUGAAAAAUAUAUUGAUUGGAAAUAUGAGGAAAUUGAUAUGAAUAUAUGAGAUUGUGAUAUUUGAAUAUUUGGUAUUGAAAAGUAAAUUGAAUUGUAUUGAAUUAUGAAUUAAUGUGCAUAAUUGAAAUAUAUUUGUUGAAUUGAAUGAAAUUGUAUGAAUUGUGAAAAUGGGUAAAUAUGUGUAAUUAUCGGAAUGAGAUAUUGAUGAAAGAAUUAUUAAAUUGAGAAAGUGAAUGAAAUACCCUAUUAACUAGUCGGGCUGAGUCAGAUAUAAUUGGCAUGCCAUAGGAUCUGGAAGUGUACGGGAUUUGCCGGCUUUAUCGAUCAGGCACUUUAUGUGUCGUAUUUCAGGCACCUCGUGUGUCGUAUCAGGCACCUCGUGUGUCGUAUCAGGCACCUCGUGUGUCGUUUUAGGCACUUUAUGUGUCGUAUACUGAUCAGGUACUAUGUACCGUUUUAGGCACAAUGUGCCGUACUGGUGUGUUUGGGUUGGAAUCCGUGUAUCCGUCAAAGUCCAGGUUUGUUAAUAGGGGUAAAUAAGUGAAAGAUAAAUCGAAUAAAUUUGAUUGAUCAAGCUAUUGAAAUGAAACGAGAAAUUGAAUUGAGAAUUGAAAAUUUAUAUGAAAUUGAAAAUAUGAACCAAAGGUUCAUGAAAUGAUUAGAGUUCGAAUUAAUGAUAUAUGAUGUCACUUGAUGAAUUGAAAUGUGAUUUGAGAUAUAUGAAUCGUAUGUUUAUAGUGAAAGCUAUCAGGGAUAGUAAGUUGAUAUAAUAUAAAUGAAAUUGAUUGUUAUUGAAAUGAAUUAAAAUGGAAUAUGAUUGAUUAGUGUAUAGUUGAAUAUAGUUUAAUGAUAUUGAAUUGUGAAUAAAUUAAGGAAAACUAUACCGAAUAGUAAGUGAAAUAAUGGAGUAAAUAAUAAUGGAUUUAGUUAAGAAUUGAACAAUUAUAUUAUUGUGUUUAUUAUAUGAUUUGUAUAAAAUUUAUAUGGUAAGUAGUUGAAAUUUAUCUAUGAAUAAAUAAUUGAAUAAUUGUAAUUGUUAUUAUGAUCUUAAGUAUUUGUUAUAUUAUAAAUUGUUCGGAUUAUAGAAAUACCACUGAGUAUACCAUACUCAGCGUACGGUUUGUUUCCGUGCGUAGGUUAAGUAAAGAUAGUACGUUGAAUCAGCAUCCCAG
rnacentral:lncRNA from 1 species